AUGGCUCGCGUUCAUCGUCAGAACGAUGAUGAUGAUUUCAUAGAUCCACCACAGCAUAAUCGGGCAACUGGACGGAGAAAAGAGGGCGAUGAGAAGAAGAAACGUAUUCGCAACAGAGCCUCCCAAGAACGACUGACUACAUUGACUGGUAGAUUUACCGACGAUCAGAAGGGAGCUGCUGCUGAGAUGGGUAUGCAGGCUCUGAUGAAUGUCCGGUGCACGAAUCUUAUCAACCCUGUAUGUGACUGGCUUGGUGAGAUUUACGACCCCGCCUCCAGGGAAUUUGUGAUUCCGGGACGUGGAAGACUACGGUUGAACGAGGAAUCCGUGUUCUGCACUUUGGGUGUGCCUCGUGGACAGAUCAAAGUCCCGUACGAGGCCAGGACAACCCAUGGGGAUGUUUUUAAGAUGAAGCUACUCAUGUACCUCAUCUCAGCUGUUUUUGCACCGACCACUUCUCUUUGCCCAAGCAACAAAUGCUUGCCCAUCCUGGCAAAACUGGAAGAUGUGAAGAACAUGAAUUGGUGUAAGUUCAUAGCCGACUUCCUGCACGACGCAUUCUCAAACAAGAUGUACCAAAAUGGUUGUCGACUGCAUUUAAUGCUCAUGUACGUCGACUGUCUUGAUCUGUCCACCGUGGAUUUCACUAGGACAGGAGGCCCGCCACCUACGCACAAGUUUGCUGUUUCUGCGUGGACUAUCAACGCUGUCAAGGCUGUGCUUGCUGCAGACAGGCUGAUGGCCAAGCAUGCUAUAGACUACAACAUGUUUGGGGGGCCUCAAAACUUUGGAAAGUGGAUGGACGUGCACUCAACUCCGUCUUGCCCUACUGAGAGAGGGCACCUAUUGAGCAUCUAA
rnacentral:rRNA from 1 species